GGUGGUGGUCGAGUGGUUUGCAGUGUCCGAUUGCCACCUCGGAGGUCCGAGGUUCGAAUCCUCGCCAUCACCG
rnacentral:tRNA from 1 species